ACCGCGAUAGCUCUGCUGGUGGGGCAUCUGCCCCGUAAGCGGAGGGUUGCCGGUUCGUUUCCGGCUCAUGGCA
rnacentral:tRNA from 1 species